rnacentral:rRNA from 1 species
CACCGCCCGUCACACCAUGAAAGUUGGGCCUACCAGAAGUCAUUGCGAUAACCGUAAGGAGUCAGAUGCCCAAGGUAGGAUCGAUGAUUGGGGUG